rnacentral:rRNA from 1 species
UGGGGAAUAUUGCACAAUGGGCGCAAGCCUGAUGCAGCCAUGCCGCGUGUAUGAAGAAGGCCUUCGGGUUGUAAAGUACUUUCAGCGGGGAGGAAGGGAGUAAAGUUAAUACCUUUGCUCAUUGACGUUACCCGCAGAAGAAGCACCGGCUAACUCCGUGCCAGCAGCCGCGGUAAUACGGAGGGUGCAAGCGUUAAUCGGAAUUACUGGGCGUAAAGCGCACGCAGGCGGUUUGUUAAGUCAGAUGUGAAAUCCCCGGGCUUAACCUGGGAACUGCAUUCGAAACUGGCAGGCUAGAGUCUUGUAGAGGGGGGUAGAAUUCCAGGUGUAGCGGUGAAAUGCGUAGAGAUCUGGAGGAAUACCGGUGGCGAAGGCGGCCCCCUGGACAAAGACUGACGCUCAGGUGCGAAAGCGUGGGGAGCAAACAGG